CCAUGUUGUUCAGCAGCAAACGUGAAGGUUUCUUCUUUCCUUCCAGGACUGGAGACUCCAGCACCAGGUGCCGUUGUCAUUCCUGACCUCCCCGGGUUGUGGCGUUGGACAUGCCCUGAUCCUUAAAAAGGGGUGUCAGUGUGAGAGCUGUGACCCUCCCGAGCGCUGCAAGGGCUCUGUGAGGCUCCUGGUGGACGCAGCAGGAACCCGCACGCAUAGAUGGACGCCAAGAUCCGCUCCUUCCUGUGUCUGGCAAGCUCUGCUGACCCCUGAGUGUUGAGCAGAAGGUUCUGGACACCAGGACUCCUUUCAAGCGGUGUGAGGACUCCCCUGAGGGCCUUGGUGGACACAGCAGGAAGCCACAGCCAACGCUGCACACCGACAUCCACAGUUGAUCUUGUCUGGCAAGGGCUAUUGCUCCCAGAGAGCGUUUUUGCUCUUCUGGCCAUUCGACGGAAUUGGUGUCAGUUUCUACUCGUGCUCCCUGGGCUUUCCAAGGGUGUUCUCCUUACUUGACACCAUCUUUCCCGCCCUCACUUUCCAAGCAGGAGCUCCCCUUGGCCUCCGUGUCUCGCUCUGGCCAGGCAGACGUGGUGUGCCAACGGUACGCAGAGUCCAGACCCUGAGCAGAAGAACAACUGAGGAGAGAGGCUGCCCUGGGUGAGACAGGAGAAGUGUCCCUUGAAGCAGGGGACGCCCCGCUGGCGCUGCCUCUCGCAUCCACGGGCAGCGCGUUCCUUCUCUCUCCUUGCCGCCCGGCGCUUUGCCGUCUCCCAGGGCUCGCCAAGUCCAAAUGUUCCCUGAUGGAGUCCAACUCCAGCUUGACCAACACUCACCCCGUCUUGUCCCCGCACCAGCUGACUUAGGGCUCCCCAGCACUGCUGGCUAUCGGUGUCUUCUGUCGCUCCCAAUCAGCAUGGCUCUGUUCUUUGCCUUUUGGGUUCCAGAGCAUUUGCUACGGGUUAUGGAGUGUUUCUCUUCUUGUCUUCCAUGUUGCCCGUUGGCGCCUCGGUGGAGUUUCAGUGACCCAAACGCAGACGGCUCUGCGUUGACCAAGCGUGAUGCCAAGAGAAGAGGACUGGAGACUCCAGCACCAGGUGCCGUUGUCAUUCCUGACCUCCCCGGGUUGUGGCGUUGGACAUGCCCUGAUCCUUAAAAAGGGGUGUCAGUGUGAGAGCUGUGACCCUCCCGAGCGCUGCAAGGGCUCUGUGAGGCUCCUGGUGGACGCAGCAGGAACCCGCACGCAUAGAUGGACGCCAAGAUCCGCUCCUUCCUGUGUCUGGCAAGCUCUGCUGACCCCUGAGGUCGUUCCCACGCUUGCGGAGGUUCUAUGGGCUUGGUGUUGGUUGUCGCUCGUGCUCACCGUGCU
ensembl:lncRNA